rnacentral:rRNA from 1 species
GACGAACGCUGGCGGCGUGCUUAACACAUGCAAGUCGAACGGAAAGGCCCUGCUUUUGUGGGGUGCUCGAGUGGCGAACGGGUGAGUAACACGUGAGUAACCUGCCCUUGACUUUGGGAUAACUUCAGGAAACUGGGGCGAAUACCGGAUAGGAGCUCCUGCUGCAUGGGGGGGGUUGGAAAGUUUCGGCGGUGGGGGAUGGACUCGCGGCUUAUCAGCUUGUUGGUGGGGUAGUGGCUUACCAAGGCUUUGACGGGUAGCCGGCCUGAGAGGGUGACCGGCCACAUUGGGACUGAGAUACGGCCCAGACUCCUACGGGAGGCAGCAGUGGGGAAUAUUGCACAAUGGGCGGAAGCCUGAUGCAGCAACGCCGCGUGCGGGAUGACGGCCUUCGGGUUGUAAACCGCUUUCGCCUGUGACGAAGAGUGAGUGACGGUAAUGGGUAAAGAAGCACCGGCUAACUACGUG